rnacentral:rRNA from 1 species
UACGUAGGGUGCGAGCGUUAAUCGGAAUUAUUGGGCGUAAAGCGCGUGUAGGCGGUUUGAUUAGUCUGAUGUGAAAGCCCUGGGCUCAACCCAGGAAGUGCAUUGGAUACUGUCAGACUUGAAUACGGGAGAGGGUAGUGGAAUUCCUAGUGUAGGAGUGAAAUCCGUAGAUAUUAGGAGGAACACCGGUGGCGAAGGCGGCUACCUGGACCGAUAUUGACGCUGAGACGCGAAAGCGUGGGUAGCAAACAGG